AACAAGGAUGAACCCUAAAAUACAAUCAUGAACUCCUUUAUCUUGUUUCUAUAAUCUUCAUGUUAAAACAUUAGUUGUUCAUACCGAAGUUUCUCUGAUCGAUCUAGAUUGUUGACUGAUGUAGAAUAUCAGUAUAGGAGUACCGGAAAUGGCAGCCCUGCUGGUAAUGGAAGCCUCAAUGAUGCUGAUCGAGAGAUGAUGAGACGGCCAUACUGUUUCAGGAUAUUCAAGGUGGAGCUUAGUUUUGCAGUUAAAAUCCCAAUGCAGGCCAUUGGAAAUGUGCUCUGUAGUCAGGAAUCAGAGAACUCUAAAGAAGCACUAAGAGUUUUGGAUAUCAUUUUAAGGCAGCUUGUCGCAGAACUUUAGAGAAGACAAGCUAAAUACUAAAAACAGGCUAAUGAUCAAUACAGGCAGAUCUUACCUCAAAGAUUAGUGCGCUUUAUAACACGUUACGUCUAUAUCCCAACAUGAUGAACACCGUCAAUGUGCGCUUGUCCAUAUCGUCUCCAAGGGAGAAAGUUGCUACAUCAAGAGCUACUUGCAUAUAUCACGUAGAAGCUGUACAAAAUGUGGUAGCUUUCAUAUGGCUGGUUGUAAUACCUGGUUUGGAGGGAGGUUACUUCCUUGGCAUCUGCCAAUGCCAGUUCCGUGAUACAAUUGCAGAUCUACGACAAUGCAGUUGGAACCGGUUUUAGAUUUUUCUAGUUAAUAACCAAUGUGUGGGGGAUCUAGGUGACAUUUUCUGGGCAAGGGCAAAGCGAACUUUCAGAAACCCGAGGAUAAAGGACUGAAAAUCUUGUAUGGAGUAUAAGAUAACUGGGUUAAAUGAACUUGGAAAAUUGUGUGUAGUACUCAAGACCAUCAUCAUCUUGUGGAUUCUCGACGGAGCAAAGGAAUGGAAAGGACGGAGAUGGUGAGCCUGAGAAGAUUGAAACUACAAUCACCGAGUGUUUUUGUUAAUAUUCGCCACAUGGAAUUAGUUUACUCAGGGUCUCUCUCAUGCAUUAAGCAUUAAUCUUUAUACCUUGGUUUCAUUGCAAUGCUAUACGAAGGCAUUGUUCGUUCACCAGAGACCGACACUCAUAGAGAAAUCAAGACAGAAGCCUUAAGUCUGGAUAGCAGCUUUGACUGAGGCAAUGAAAACACCAACAGUGCUUGCCUCUAGUUCUGAGUUUACUCGAGUCGAAGGCCGUGUAGUACAAACUCCAAGCCUUGUACUUUGGUUUUCAUGCGAUGUUAUACCAAGGCACUGUCCGUUCACCAGAGAUGGUCACUCGUAGAGAAAUCAAGACAGAAUCCUUAAGAAUGAAUGACAGCUUUGACUGAGGCAAUUAAAACUAACAAUUACGAUUCUGAGCCAACAGUAUGUCUCUGGUGUUACAGUUAGUUCCAAGUUUACUCAAGUUGAAGGCCGUGUAUUACAACCUCCGAGUUGAAAUUUGGCAAGGGAGAAGAGAGGCGGAUGGGAAGAUGGAACUUUAAUCGCAAAGUAUUUGUGGAGCCAAUUAAGUUGACCGUUGAUUCAUUGUGAGAGAAGUGGUCUAGUUUGAGAUCUUACCAGACUGGGAGAACAGAAAGGAAUGAGCCUCAAUUUGAUGUCUAUACGGAGUCUCCUUGGUCUAAAGGGAUACUGCUGCUGCUAGAGUGAAGCAGAUGAUUCAACAGAUUUCCCCAGAACUUCCUGGAACACCCAGUUUCCUCUAUCUUCUGCCAGAGGAAAAACACUGGAACAUCCACGCUUGGUGGUUGAAUUCGGCGUCGGCGGUAUUUUGUGUUUGUGCAUGUGCGGAUCUCUUUUGAGAUCAUAAAGUUAAAUCCUCAAGUAGUGUUUCAGUUUGAGCAUAAAGUGAAGCUCAUUUCUGACCUUGGAGGUACGAAGGAUCUUAUUGAGAUCUUAAAGUGUCCUUGUCAAUGGGCAUAAAGUGCAGCUCAUUGUGUAACCUUAAGUUUAUAGACAUCCUGGAACUAUGUAUGCCCGUGAGAGCGGCCUGUCUAGUGUGGUGAUUGUAGAUUUUCUGACAAUAGCGUUCCAUUUGAUCUAAGCUUAGUUAUACAUGAUAUUUUGCACAAGAUUAAGAUUUUUGUUUUCCAAAAUGGGUGCUCACCUACCUACCGUCGUUUUUGUUUUUUUUUUGUUACUGAUCCGGAGGUCUUUUGCUAAAUCUUUUUCAAAAGAAAUAAAAAUGAUUUGUUGCUUUUUAGCAUCAUAUCAUGUUUAGUUUAAUAAAACCGGAUUAGCCUAAUCUUAAUCAAGUGUGAGAUCAUGUACUAAAUGCGAAGCUUUCUGUUUUGUGGGAUGUGUACACAAGGCCAAGUACAUAAGUUAAUCCAUAAAGUGGGCAUAUUAGUUGUUAUAUUCAGUCAGUUAAGGGAUGCGUCUGAGUCAGUUGCCUUGUUUUUAUCUUUCUGCCAUUAGAAAGAUAAGGGUUCCAAGUAAAAGAACUUAGCUUAGAGUGUUAUGUUAUAAGUCAUUGUCUAAGACGAUCAUAACCCAGUCCAAGGUAUUAUCUUACUAUACUUGUCCUUGUCUGCUGUUGUUCAUGGAACUAAAGUAUCUUCUAUUAACAACUACUGUCUAGUAAUCAAUAAGGUAGAAGUCAGGUAUAUCUUAACUCUGCUGUUACUUCUUUACCAUGUAUUAAUUGUAUCUGUGAGGACACAAGCACGAAAGGUCGAGGUGGUAAAUAAUUCUAUUCAAUCCUGCAUGAGAUACAGGGAUGGCGGCAUAAUUUGACGGUUCCUUCUUGUUCGUCAAUCCCUUUUCUACUAAAAUCCAAAGAACUUUGCGGGCUUGGGAGACGUCCUUGGAUGCAGGGGAUUCCACUCCAGUUUCAGGCGUCACAAGGUGGUUUAUCUGAGCAUAUAUGUUUCUACAUCAAUGAUUUAAAUUAAAUAACCAGUUUUAGAUUUUUGAAUUAAAUAACCAUGGUGUCGGGGACCCAGGGAACAUGGACUGGGCAACGUAGGUGUUCUUUACCUCGAAUUGUGUAUAGUACUUCCGACCUCCUUCAUCUUGUAGAUUCUCUAUGAUGCAAAGGAAUGGAAAAGAUGGACAUGGAGAUGGCGAGCCUGAAAUGAUCGAAAUGCCAAUCACUGAUUUUUUUCCGUUAAUAUUCGCCUCAUGGAAUUAGCUAACUCUGGAUCUCUUCCAUGCAUUAAGCAACAAUUUAGCUUUGUACUUCGGUUUUCGUGCAACGCUAUACGAAGGUAUCGUCUGGUUAACAGAGAUCGUCAAUCGUAGAGAAAAGAAGACAAAAAGGUGGUUGCUUCUUGUGUGUUAAUAAAACAGAUUUUCUAGUUGUAUUUGUAAGAGAACAUACUUGCAAAUCAAGUUAGGUUUGUUUUUUUUAAAACAAUUAAAACACGUAAUUCUUUUAAAACAAUUAAAACACGUGAAAGAAA